rnacentral:rRNA from 1 species
AGAGUUUGAUCCUGGCUCAGAUUGAACGCUGGCGGCAGGCCUAACACAUGCAAGUCGAGCGGCAGCACAAGUGAGUUUACUCAUGAGGUGGCGAGCGGCGGACGGGUGAGUAAUGCUUGGGAACAUGCCAUUAGGUGGGGGACAACAGUUGGAAACGACUGCUAAUACCGCAUAAUCUCUACGGAGCAAAGAUGGGGCUCUUCGGACCUAUCGCCUAAUGAUUGGCCCAAGUGGGAUUUAGCUAGUUGGGUGAGGUAAUGGCUCACCAAGGCGACGAUCUCUAGCUGGUCUGAAAGGAAUGAUCAGCCACCCUGGAAACUGAACCCGGUCCAACUCCCUACGGGAGGCAACAGUGGGGAAUUUUGGACAAGGGGCCCAAGCCUGAUCCCGCCAUGCCCCUGGGUAAAAAAGCCUUGGGUUGAAACCUUUUCAUUGGGAGAAAGGUUCAUCGCUAUACCGCUAGUUCGACCGUCCCACAGAAAAAGCUCGGUUAACGCCCGCCAAACAAGCCGGUCAGAAUUAGUGUGCAGUUUUUCAAGCGUUAAUCGGAAUUACUGGGCGUAAAGCGUACGCAGGCGGUUGAUUAAGCGAGAUGUGAAAGCCCCGGGCUCAACCUGGGAACUGCAUUUCGAACUGGUCAACUAGAGUGUGAUAGAGGGUGGUAGAAUUUCAGGUGUAGCGGUGAACUGAAAGGAAAUCACCCGAAUGGCCGAAAGGCAGUCAUCUUGGGUCCAACACUGACGCUUCAUUGUACGAAAGCGUGGGGAGCAAACAGGAAUAAGAUACCCCUGGUAGUCCACGCGUAAACGAUGUCUACUAGAAGCUGGAGUCCUCGGACGACUUUUUCAAAGCUAACGCAUUAAGUAGACCGCCUUGGGGAGUACGGCCGCAAGGUUAAAACUCAAAUGAAUUGACGGGGGCCCGCACAAGCGGUGGAGCAUGUGGUUUAAUUCGAUGCAACGCGAAGAACCUUACCUACUCUUGACAUCCAGAGAACUUUCCAGAGAUGGAUUGGUGCCUUCGGGAACUCUGAGACAGGUGCUGCAUGGCUGUCGUCAGCUCGUGUUGUGAAAUGUUGGGUUAAGUCCCGCAACGAGCGCAACCCUUAUCCUUGUUUGCCAGCGAGUAAUGUCGGGAACUCCAGGGAGACUGCCGGUGAUAAACCGGAGGAAGGUGGGGACGACGUCAAGUCAUCAUGGCCCUUACGAGUAGGGCUACACACGUGCUACAAUGGCGCAUACAGAGGGCGGCCAACUUGCGAAAGUGAGCGAAUCCCAAAAAGUGCGUCGUAGUCCGGAUUGGAGUCUGCAACUCGACUCCAUGAAGUCGGAAUCGCUAGUAAUCGUGGAUCAGAAUGCCACGGUGAAUACGUUCCCGGGCCUUGUACACACCGCCCGUCACACCAUGGGAGUGGGCUGCAAAAGAAGUAGGUAGUUUAACCUUCGGGGGGACGCUUACCACUUUGUGGUUCAUGACUGGGGUGAAGUCGUAACAAGGUAGCCGUA